rnacentral:rRNA from 1 species
AUAUCAAUAAGCGGAGGAAAAGAAACCAACAGGGAUUGCCCUAGUAACGGCGAGUGAAGCGGCAACAGCUCAAAUUUGAAAUCUGGCCUUCUGGUCCGAAUUGUAAUUUGUAGAGGAUGCUUUUGGUGCGGUGCCUUCCGAGUUCCCUGGAACGGGACGCCUUAGAGGGUGAGAGCCCCGUACGGUUGGACACCUAGCCUCUGUAAAGCUCCUUCGACGAGUCGAGUAGUUUGGGAAUGCUGCUCUAAAUGGGAGGUAAAUUUCUUCUAAAGCUAAAUACCGGCCAGAGACCGAUAGCGCACAAGUAGAGUGAUCGAAAGAUGAAAAGCACUUUGAAAAGAGGGUUAAACAGCACGUGAAAUUGUUGAAAGGGAAGCGCUUAUGACCAGACUUUUUCUUAACGGAUCAUCCGGUGUUCUCACCGGUGCACUUCGUUAGGUUUAGGCCAGCAUCGGUUUUCGUAGGGAGAUAAAAGCUUUAGGAAUGUGACUCCUCCGGGAGUGUUAUAGCCUGUUGUAUAAUAUCCUUAUGGGGACCGAGGUACGCGCUCUGCAAGGAUGCUGGCAUAAUGGUCAUCAGCGACCCGUCUUGAAACACGGACCAAGGAGUCGAACAUUUGUGCGAGUGUUUGGGUGUUAAACCCUCACGCGUAAUGAAAGUGAACGGAGGUGAGAGCCUUAGGGUGCAUCAUCGACCGAUCCUGAAGUCUUCGGAUGGAUUUGAGUAAGAGCAUAACUGUUCGGACCCGAAAGAUGGUGAACUAUGCGUGGAUAGGGUGAAGCCAGAGGAAACUCUGGUGGAGGCUCGCAGCGGUUCUGACGUGCAAAUC